rnacentral:rRNA from 1 species
GCUAAGGUAGCAUAAUCAUUUGUUUUUUAAUUGGGGACUGGAAUGAAAGGUUAAACUAAGUGAUUUAGUUUGUGGAUUUUUAAAGUAAAUUAAAGUCAAGGUAAGAAUUCUUUGAUAUUUUAGGGGACGAUAAGACCCUAGAAUCUUUAUAAAUUGGUUUAUAUUUUGUAAUUGGUCACAAUUUAUUUCGCUGGGGCGGCGUUAAAGGUUGAACCUUUACUAUAUUGGCAGAUCCUUUAGAUAAAGAUAAGACGGUAAAGUUACUCUAGGGUUAA